rnacentral:rRNA from 1 species
GACAGAGGUGCCAAGCGUUAGGCGGAAUCACUGGGCUUAAAGCGUGUGUAGGCGGGCGAUCAAGUACCUUGUGAAAUCCCACGGCUCAACCGUGGAACUGCUGGGUAUACUGGUUGUCUUGAGCCAGCUAGGGGCGAGCGGAACAGACGGUGGAGCGGUGAAAUGCGUAGAGAUCCGGAGGAAGACCGGUGGCGAAGGCGGCCUGCUGGGCAGUUACUGACACUGAGGCGCGACAGCGUGGGGAGCAAACAGG